UGGGUCUUCCUAAAGGGGUAGACGAGUGGCGGACGGGUGAGUAAUGUCUGGGAAACUGCCUGAUGGAGGGGGAUAACUACUGGAAACGGUAGCUAAUACCGCAUAAUGUCGCAAGACCAAAGAGGGGGACCUUCGGGCCUCUUGCCAUCAGAUGUGCCCAGAUGGGAUUAGCUAGUAGGUGGGGUAACGGCUCACCUAGGCGACGAUCCCUAGCUGGUCUGAGAGGAUGACCAGCCACACUGGAACUGAGACACGGUCCAGACUCCUACGGGAGGCAGCAGUGGGGAAUAUUGCACAAUGGGCGCAAGCCUGAUGCAGCCAUGCCGCGUGUAUGAAGAAGGCCUUCGGGUUGUAAAGUACUUUCAGCGGGGAGGAAGGUGUUGUGGUUAAUAACCACAGCAAUUGACGUUACCCGCAGAAGAAGCACCGGCUAACUCCGUGCCAGCAGCCGCGGUAAUACGGAGGGUGCAAGCGUUAAUCGGAAUUACUGGGCGUAAAGCGCACGCAGGCGGUCUGUCACGUCGGAUGUGAAAUCCCCGGGCUCAACCUGGGAACUGCCUUCGAAACUGGCAGGCUGGAGUCUUGUAUAGGGGGGUAGAAUUCCAGGUGUUGCGGUGAAAUGCGUAGAGAUCUGGAGACUGGCAGGGUUGUUUUUUGGGGGGGGGGGGUUGCAUUCCGGAUGAAGCAAUAAAAUACGUAUAUAUCGGGAGGGAAUACCGGUGGGGAGGGCGCCCCCCUGGACAAAAGACGAUGAUCAGGUGAGAAAAGGGUGGGGAGCAAACAGGAUUAGAUACCCUGGUAGUCCACGCCGUAAAUGAUGUCGAUUUGGAGGUUGUGCCCUUGAGGCGUGGCUUCCGGAGAUAACGCGUUAAAUCGACCGCCUGGGGAGUACGGCCGCAAGGUUAAAACUCAAAUGAAUUGACGGGGGCCCGCACAAGCGGUGGAGCAUGUGGUUUAAUUUGAUGCAACGCGAAGAACCUUACCUGGUCUUGACAUCCACAGAACUUUCCAGAGAUGGAUUGGUGCCUUCGGGAACUGUGAGACAGGUGCUGCAUGGCUGUCGUCAGCUCGUGUUGUGAAAUGUUGGGUUAAGUCCCGCAACGAGCGCAACCCUUAUCCUUUGUUGCCAGCGGUUAGGCCGGGAACUCAAAGGAGACUGCCAGUGAUAAACUGGAGGAAGGUGGGGAUGACGUCAAGUCAUCAUGGCCCUUACGACCAGGGCUACACACGUGCUACAAUGGCGCAUACAAAGAGAAGCGACCUCGCGAGAGCAAGCGGACCUCAUAAAGUGCGUCGUAGUCCGGAUUGGAGUCUGCAACUCGACUCCAUGAAGUCGGAAUCGCUAGUAAUCGUAGAUCAGAAUGCUACGGUGAAUACGUUCCCGGGCCUUGUACACACCGCCCAGUCCACAACCAUGGGUAGUGGGUUGCAAUAAGAGGAAAAAAU
rnacentral:rRNA from 1 species